rnacentral:misc_RNA from 1 species
UAAAAUAUGAUGAAACGAGGGAUAACGCAAAUGAUUAAAAAAAAAUUGCUUCAAAUCGAAUCUAUAUCUCCCAGCUGGCAUCAUUACUUUAAAGACCAUUCUUUCUGUCACCAUUUAACGCUUCAAUGAACACCACAGAAAAGCCAUUAUGAGUAAAGUUAAAAAGGUUGCCAGUUUUACUGUAUUUUGUAAUGAUUAUAAAAAUCGACUGACAACAGCUUAUCCUUUUCUGACGCUGGAUCAGAUACAACAGAAACUAAGAGAAAAGUGGAAUGAUUUAAGUCUUUCUGAAAAGAAAUAUUACAGCAAAGCUGUGCUCUGUCAAUCUGUGACAAAAAGCAGCUCAAAGAAAAAGCUCUGCAAGCAAAAGAGAAGCAAGCCAACAAAACCUGAGAGUAACAGUCAACACCAUAAUUUAAAUGAGUUGAAUCUUUUCGAAGAUGAUUUGUCUGGACCAUCUGAUGAAAAUGAAGACAAGGUUUUCACAAGUUCUAGUCCAACUGAAGAAUCAUCUUCAUCAUCAUUUCAAAGAAGCAAUAGUAAGACAUACAUGGCUUCCAGAUUGAAGUUCAGCUACUCUGUUCCGGUGGUAGUUGAUGAAACUCCUUUUGUACAGCAGGGAAUCUUAAAGAAAAGAUGUUCAGAAAAAGAUCAAAAGACUAAAGUAAAGUUUAAUGUUUCUCCUGUGCCAUCUUUAUGUAAUGCGAGUGAAUUAAAACCUGAUGUGGUUAAUGAGCCAAACUGGAAUAGUAAAACACAUGAAAAAACUGUGGAAACCUCAAUCAAGGAAAAGAAAGAAACUUGCAGAAAAAUACAAGGGGGUGAUGGAGAUUGUAGAUCUUCUACUCCUAAUGUACUUGAGUCUAAAAGAAGAAGCAAAAGACUUGUUGAUAAAAGUUAUUUUAACCAGAAGCAAGCACACCAAGUUUUCAAUUACGCACAAGAUUGGAGCUCUUCACAGUCAGAUGAAACAAGUCCUAAAAGUGAUUUGAAAAUCUCAGCAAGUGAGAAUCUGGCUAAAUCUGCAGAAGAAAGAACUAAUAAACCUUUAACACCUGAGCUGCAAAGAAGUAUGAGUCAGUUAAUAAUUCAAAAGGUUUGUCAAGCCCCCAAGAAAAAAGGAUCAAGAGGGAAUUCGGUGUUCACAGAAAAUGUAGCCUGCAAAAGUGAUGACAAUGAUUCCAGCACACCUAAAAGUCUUGCAACAAAAAGUAAAAAAAUAAAAGGCAUAAAUCAUCACAGGUUGUUAUUGUCAGAGAAAUCAGAUUCAAAUGAGAAGAUUCUGAAAUGGAAUGCAAAUAUCCCGAUAAAAAAUAGCGAAAGGUCCAGCAAUGUAACAUCUUCAAAAUUCAAGUGUUUAUUUAGUCCAGAUGAAUCUUUGAGUUCUAAUGACUAUGGAGAUAAUGAUUUGGAAUCUUCUAUUGAAUGGGAUUUUUGGAACAACUCUCAAGAUGAGAAAGAAUCCCAAAAUGUUCAGAUUCAAGCGAGAAGAGUGUUACUAAAAUGAAGAAAACGGUGUCACCUUCAUUGAUGACAUCAAUGAUCAGUAAUAGUCCAGACAGUAUGGUCACUGAGUGUUCUUCACCAUUAUCUGGAAUUAGUGAGCUCUCUGACCCAGAUUCUGACAGUUAUGAAGAACAUGUAGAAGAGAAUGAGAAAAUGGAUUCAAAAGCAAUACUCUAUAUUAAUGACAAAAUUUCAGCUGGUGGUGAUGCUAAAUCUCAUUCCAUUUACAAAUGUAAC